GCUCGUGUACAUGCUGAUCCUGCUGGAGAAGGCAAGGGAGAGGUCAGAGAAGACUCCCAGGUGGCCGGGAGGAUAGCCAAGGCAGGAAUCUAGGAGCAGAAGAGGGGAGGAGGAGCAGGUCCAGAAAACAAUGCCGACUUUGCACUGGACAUGCAGCAUUGAGCCCCUGGGUACGAGAUAUCCAGCAGCCAGCUGGCAGUGCCAUCUGGAGUGUGGUCUGCUCAGGGUCUCCCAAACUGGCCACGUCAAUUUUUAUAUGUCCUGUCCCUUCUGUUUUGUCCACCUGUGAUGCCUACCCUACUCCGUCUUUACCAUGCAAAUCUUUUUGCUUUUCAAAUUUGCUUUUCAAAUCCCUGUCCCAUGCCAGUUCCUCUCUCAAGCCUCUCCUGGUGGCCUCAAUCCCCUGGCAUUGACCUCCCUGGCAUUCUCAUUAGAUUUUCAUGCACCACCUCUGGGAUGCAUGUUAUGUGCUGUCUGGUUUAAUUAUCAAUUUCAUGUAUGCAGGCCCCAUCUGCUUAUCUAUACCAUUAAUCCCUCAUCUCACUGUGGACAUUCUGUUCUUGUCCUCAGAAGCUUAUGCUAUCAUGGGAACAAAAUUCACAUUUAAAGGCUUGAAAGUGAGCUCAGAUUUGCAUUCUCACUGAUAUUAGAGGGAGAGUAGUAAAUUGGCAUAGUCUUUUGGGAGAAAGUUAAUGAUAUAUGUCAAGAUACGUAACAAUACAUACCUUAAAAGAAUCUAUACCUUUGACCCCCAAAUUCUCCCUCCUAUGAAAAUAAUUAGAAUAUGGACAAUGACUUAUAUGAAGAUAUUUAUCAUAACAUUAUUUGCAAUAAUAGAAAAGAAUUUGAAGUGACAUGUCCAACAAGAAGGGAAUGGUUUUGAGAAAUCAUGAUACUUUAUGACUGCAUAAGCACUAUUAUGACAGUCUUCUAGAACCAUCAUAAAAGAUGUUUCUGAACAAGUUCAUGACAUGGGAAAAUGCCUGAUACAAUGUUAAAUGGAAGCAGACAGGAUAUAAGACUGCAUAUGGAUUGCAAUUUUAUUUUGGUGAUUUCUAGUGCCACGCUCCUAGAUCAGAACAUCAUUGAGGCAAUGGGGCCAACUGGACGCCACUGAAGACUAGCCAGCAGCACAGUGGAUGCAUGCUAUCAUGAAGGCAUCACUCUGACAGCAAUGUACAAGUCAGGAGGAAUGCAGAACUGUUGUCGCUACUGUGGCUGUUACACACUAUGACUUGGCCAAGUUUGGCAAUCACACCAGUGUCACCUUAAAACCGUGGCUGUCAAGUAGUGAAUGUCGAGCAUGGCUAAAUGUCGGGGAGGAGGUGCAGUCACACUGCUGCCAAUCUGAGCCUGCAAAUUCUGCAGAACAAGUUGACCUGGAUCACGUUUUUAUAAAUAAGUGUUAUUUCGUUCAGUCCCAUCUGCAUCCUGAAGACACAAACUGGUGCCUGUUUAAUUGGGCCCUCUUCUCAUGUCUCAUUUCUCUCCCUGCCUCACAAAGCCCUGCUGGUACUGAUAGCACGGUGGUGACCUGAGAGAAUUCGGAAGGAGAGUUUGGAAUUAAAGAAUGUGUCCCAGAGGAUGCAUGAUCCAGGACCACCAGUGGCCGUAAAGAGGAACUAACAUGAAGUAUUAGUUGCAUAGGUAUCCAGAGGCCGUCAGUUCUUCAGAUAAUAAAUGUCAGUUCUCUGAAGACGGAGACCUUUCCUGUCAGAUAAUUACUGUACUCCAGAGCCAAGCACCAAGUCCAUGGCCGAUGCUUGCCCUUGUUCUUCUAAACCAUGACAAACUGCAAAAAGAUCCAGAGCUGCUCUCUGAGUCACUGGAGGAGCUGCUGCCGCUGCUGCUACUGCCACUGCUGCUGCCCUUGCUGGAAGGCACAGAGGCUCUGCAGUUGGCCUGCUGGACCACGGUGCUGCCAGCCCACGAGGCCCCCCGGGAAGAAGAGGGAAGGAAAGCCAAGUGAGCAAACACAAAACGCCGCCACCGAGCAAGCAAGCUGUCAUUCGACCAAAGGAGAGAAGCAGCACACUGGCUGCGUGUCUGUCAACCAUCACCUGGAGCCUGAAGAGCAAUCAUCAGGAAGUGGGCUGCAAGGAAGGGCACAGCAUUCUGCUCUGUGCUUUCAUGGCCUGUUGAAAGGUUCUAGAGACUGGAGCAUCAACAAAGUUAUAUAGUCCUACUUCCUACCUCUUCCUGCCCAUGGAGUUGAGUGCUGGAGUGUUUGUAGGAGCUGGCUUGCUGUAUAAACAGUAACUUUCCUUUUGAGCCCUUCAUUAAAGAACUGAAGCUUCAACCUUUACCCAUUUUCAUAUAUUCCACACUUUAAAAUUUAACCCCAGUGUGGUGGCUUAUAGUAACAGCAUUUCAAAUGUUCAAAUGUUUUAAACGUUCAAAUGCUUGAUGUUCAUAUCCAUGCUGAAAUUUGCCAGAAGUCAUCAUUAUAUACUCAAAGACAACAGGAAAAGUGGGCAGUUUGUAAUGGUAAUUAAUCACAAAAAUGCAAAUAGGACAUACCAACCCAGAGAGUGUUUGAGCCAAAAAGGAAGUUUCGGUACUCACAUACUAUACAACAUCUUCAGAGUCCUUUAUUAACUGCAUUGCAACACGCCUGAAUCUGUUCUUUUGAGGUCAAAUUCUGAACCCAGAAAAUGCAGUGGUCACUUUUUAAUGUUGAGUCAGCAAGUAUCUGCUUGCCACUUCCAACUGUGACUACUGUUUCAUCAGGACUGGACUUCAGGGAAAGCCAGGGGUGAGCGGAGCUUGUCAGGGUUUAUGGCCCUAAGUGCGAAGCAGCCUAGACAAGGUGAACCAUCCUUUCACCUACCCCUUAAAUCUCUGACAAGUGUCUUUGCCCAAGGACAGAUUCUCAUAAAUCCUCAGUGUGGGGGCAGGGAGGGAGGUUAAUAUUCAUUGAGCCUUACUUCUUCUAGAAGAAUGACCAGCCAAGAAGCUAUCUUGCAGGAUACAUCUGAAAAUGGAAGCAUCGUUUUGAACUACAGGGUUAGAUAGAGAAAAGUGGAGCCAGAACAUAACCUUCCCUUGUGGGGGAACAUUGUUUGGUGGGAACAUUUCUCCCACCAAAGUCAUGGUCCACUCCUACUGUCUGACAAAAUUCUUCAACAUCAGACAACACCAGCACAUUUAUGCCUUGCCUGAGCUGUAGUGGUUUCUUUACCAGGCUACUGUUUGUGUCUGGUGUUCAGAGAGGAAUCCCGGAUCUUUAGACAGAGGUGGGAAAGGGAAUGUUAGUGAUCAAAGGGCUGUAAUAUUUCUUUCUUCCUUUAUGAACUAAAAUCCAUUUUUCCUGUUGGCUGAGUAGAGAUGGCUACUAUCAAUGGAGUCAUAAAAAAAAAAAAACAACUAUUAGAUUC